rnacentral:lncRNA from 1 species
CCAGAGCCUUCCAUAUGAUCGAACUCAUUUAUAUUACUUUCCCUGGGAUCUUUUCUUGCUUGGUUCAGUUUUCUUCUAAGGACAUAAUACAAACCAACUUCAUCAUUUCUGAAAAUACAGGAGAACACCCAAAUCACAUUGAUUAACAG